rnacentral:rRNA from 1 species
GUCCUAGCUGUAAACGAUGCAGACCAGACGUGGGGGUAUCGACCCCUCCGCGCCGAACUUAACGGAUUAAGUCUGCCGCCUGGGGAGUACGGCCGCAAGGUUGAAACUCAAAGGAAUUGACGGGACCCGCACAAGCGGUGGAGUAUGUGGUUUAAUUCGACGCAACACGAAAACCUUACCUGGGCUCGAACGACUGGAAGUAAGAUCUGUGAAAGCGGAGAUGACCUGUAAAGUCAGGAACCAGCCGAGGUGCUGCAUGUUUGUCGU